rnacentral:rRNA from 1 species
AGAGUUUGAUUCUGGCUCAGGACGAACGCUGGCGGCGUGCCUAACACAUGCAAGUCCAACGAGAAAGUCUCCUUCGGGAGACCGGUAAAGUGGCGGACGGGUGAGUAACGCGUGGGAAUCUACCCGGUAGUGGGGGAUAACCCCCCGAAAGGGGAGCUAAUACCGCAUAAGCCCCAAGGGGUAAAGAUGGCCUCUUUCUAAUGCUAUCGCUUCCGGAUGAGCCCGCGUCCUAUUAGCUAGUUGAUGAGGUAAUGGCCUACCAAGGCAACGAUCAGUAGCCGGCCUGAGAGGGUGGACGGCCACACUGGGACUGAGACACGGCCCAGACUCCUACGGGAGGCAGCAGUGGGGAAUAUUGCGCAAUGGGGGAAACCCUGACGCAGCGACGCCGCGUGAGCGAAGAAGGCCUUAGGGUCGUAAAGCUCUGUUUUAAGGGACGAAUAUCUUCAGUAGUAACUGACUGAGGAAUGACGGUACCUUAAGAGAAAGCCCCGGCUAACUACGUGCCAGCAGCCGCGGUAAGACGUAGGGGGCGAGCGUUGUCCGGAAUUACUGGGCGUAAAGAGCACGUAGGCGGGAUUUUAAGUCAGGUGUGAAAGACCGUGGCUCAACCACGGGGUUGCACAUGAAACUGGAAUUCUCGAGGGCAGGAGAGGAAAGUGGAAUUCCUGGUGUAGCGGUGAAAUGCGUAGAAAUCAGGAGGAACACCGGUGGCGAAGGCGACUUUCUGGACUGACCCUGACGCUGAGGUGCGAAAGCGUGGGUAGCAAACAGAAGUAGAUACCCUGGUAGUCCACGCUGUAA